GAACGGUAUGAAGAAGCUUGCUUCUUCAGAGAGUGGCGAACGGGUGAGUAACACGUAGGUGAUCUACCGCAGGGGUUGGGGAUAGCCCAUGGAAACAUGGGGUAAUACCGAAUACGCUCAUUUGGCUGUGGCCGGAUGAGGAAAGGCGCUUCGGCGUCGCCCUGUAAUGAGUCUGCGCACCAUUAGCUAGUUGGUAAGGUAACGGCCUACCAAGGCGACGAUGGGUAGCCGGCCUGAGAGGGUGAUCGGCCACACUGGGACUGAGAUACGGCCCAGACUCCUACGGGAGGCAGCAGCUAAGAAUCUUCCGCAAUGGACGAAAGUCUGACGGAGCGACGCCGCGUGGGUGAAGAAGGCCGGAAGGUUGUAAAGCCCUUUUCUCGUUGAGGAAUAAGCGCAGGAGGGAAUGCCUGUGCGAUGACGGUAGGCGAGGAAUAAGUCCCGGCCAAUUACGUGCCAGCAGCCGCGGUAACACGUAUGGGACGAGCGUUGUUCGGAAUCAUUGGGCGUAAAGGGCGCGUAGGCGGCGAGGUAAGCCUGGUGUGAAAGACCGCAGCUUAACUGCGGAACCGCGCUAGGAACUGCAUUGCUUGAGUUCAGGAGGGGGAGCUGGAAUUCCAGGUGUAGGGGUGAAAUCUGUAGAUAUCUGGAAGAACACCGGCGGCGAAGGCGAGCUCCUGGCCAUGAACUGACGCUGAGGCGCGAAAGCGUGGGGAGCGAACCAGGAUUAGAUACCCUGGUAGUCCACGCUGUAAACGAUGUGGCACUAGGUGUUUGGGCCACGAAGGUUCAGUGCCGGAGUCAACGCGUUAAGUGCACCGCCCUGGGGAGUAUGCUCCGCAAGGGUGAAACCUCAAAGGAUUUGACGGGGGGCCCGCAACAACCGGUUUGGAGACAUGUGGGGUUUAAAUUCGAUGAUACGCGAGGAACC
rnacentral:rRNA from 1 species